ensembl:lncRNA
GUCGCGAGCCAACUAAAUGGAGCCCCCGAAGGAUGGCGAGGGUUCGUUUAACAGGGGAGGCACUCGGGGAUCAGUCGGCGCAAUCUCAACAAGUGUGGCUGGCUGCUUCAAUAGGAGCUUCUCAUGGGCAGGGAAGAAAGGAAAAGACCGCAUGGUCGUUGGGGGGCGGGUCUUCGGCUUGUGUGAAUUUGGUCAUUUGUUGGCCGAGGUCAGCUCCUGAAGAUUAGCAGCGGCGGCGGCGGUGGGGUGUGUGUGUGUGUGUUUGCGUGGGUGUGCGUGGGUGUGCGUGAGUGUGUGUGAGUCAAAGGGAGAGAGAGAGGGGGAGUUGUGUGCUUGGAGUUGGGCUAAAUUGUUAAUCCAUUGAUUUAGAUGGAGUUAACAUGCUGGCCGGCGACCAGCAGAGACUUAAGUCACAAUUGGAGUGGGGCAGAUGUAUUGAGGGGAGACGGUGGGAAAGUUGAAACGCUGCUUUUCUUUGACAAAAAGAAGGAAUCCGAAGAGGAAAUUGAAGCAAGAGUCUGCGGUACCAGACAGACGUGCGGUGCCUCGGGGGAAACUCCCCUCCUCUGUGGGCCGAAUGCUGCGCAGGGGAAACCAUCACUCACUGUCCAUGCCUCCGUCAGGAUGGUGACGAUGCUGUCUGUUGGUGUAAGCUUGACGGAUGCCUCACAUGCAGGCGGAGGUCGCCCCGAGAGGGUGGAGGGCCACGAGACACCUUCGGCCACUUUCACAGAGAAAGGAUGGAGCAGAGUAAAUGAUGAUUCUAUCUGUCCACUUAUCAUCCGGCCCCCCCACCACCGUGCACAUGUUAUUUAUUAUGAAAUGACACCUCGCUGUCCGGAGAGCCUGCUGCAGUGGGCGUGAUUCAUAGAGGCGGACCAUGGGACACAGGAAGACCAUUAAAAACCCUAUCAACAUCAUGUCACAGUUGGUGGAAAACGAGGGGGGGGAACUGGACAGCCAGCGAGAUGUUUUAUGGUCAAGCCUGUUUUACAAACGGGGAGUACAGGUCAAGAAACCGUGAUCCAGCCAGGAUCCCAAUUGUGUCAUGAUUGUCUUCCAGCGGAAUAAUCUGAGCAUGGUGGAAACAGUUGGACAUUUUGGUGUGGUUUCUUUUCCGGAUGAGAGUUAGAGGGAAAUAUCUAUAUAACUCUCAUGUGUGAAUGGAAAAAAAUGGAGGCUAAUGUAGAGUUGACAUAUCCUAGUUUGUGAUGUACAAAUGCAAAUAUAAUCCGAUAUAAAGGAAU